UACGUAGGGUGCGAGCGUUGUCCGGAAUUAUUGGGCGUAAAGAGCUCGUAGGCGGUUUGUCGCGUCUGCUGUGAAAACUCAAGGCUUAACCCUGGGCCUGCAGUGGGUACGGGCAGACUAGAGUGCGGUAGGGGUGAUCGGAAUUCCUGGUGUAGCGGUGGAAUGCGCAGAUAUCAGGAGGAACACCGGUGGCGAAGGCAGCUCACUGGGCCGGUACUGACGCUGAGGCGCGAAAGCGUGGGGAGCGAACAGG
rnacentral:rRNA from 1 species